rnacentral:rRNA from 1 species
UACGUAGGGGGCUAGCGUUGUCCGGAAUCAUUGGGCGUAAAGAGCGUGUAGGCGGCCCGGUAAGUCCGCUGUAAAAGUCAAAGGCUCAACCUUUGAAUGUCAGUGGAUACUGCCGGGCUAGAGUCCGGAAGAGGCGAGUGGAACUCCUGGUGUAGCGGUGGAAUGCGCAGAUAUCAGGAAGAACACCAACGGCGAAGGCAGCUCGCUGGGACGGUACUGACGCUGAG